rnacentral:rRNA from 1 species
GACGAACGCUGGCGGCGUGCUUAACACAUGCAAGUCGAACGGAAAGGCCCUGCUUUUGUGGGGUGCUCGAGUGGCGAACGGGUGAGUAACACGUGAGUAACCUGCCCUUGACUUUGGGAUAACUUCAGGAAACUGGGGCUACUACCGGAUAGGAGCUCCUGCUGCAUGGUGGGGGUUGGAAAGUUUCGGCGGUUGGGGAUGGACUCGCGGCUUAUCAGCUUGUUGGUGGGGUAGUGGCUUACCAAGGCUUUGACGGGUAGCCGGCCUGAGAGGGUGACCGGCCACAUUGGGACUGAGAGACGGCACAGACUCCUACGGGAGGCAGCAGUGGGGAAUAUUGCACAAUGGGCGGAAGCCUGAUGCAGCAACGCCGCGUGCGGGAUGACGGCCUUCGGGUUGUAAACCGCUUUCGCCUGUGACGAAGCGUGAGUGACGGUAAUGGGUAAAGAAGCACCGGCUAACUACGUG